rnacentral:rRNA from 1 species
UACGGGGGGGGCAAGCGUUGUUCGGAAUUACUGGGCGUAAAGGGCUCGUAGGUGGCCAAUUAAGUCAGGCGUGAAAUCCCCAGGCUCAACUUGGGAACUGCGUCUGAUACUGGUUGGCUUGGAUUCGGGAGAGGGAUGCAGAAUUCCAGGUGUAGCGGUGAAAUGCGUAGAUAUCUGGAGGAAUACCGGUGGCGAAGGCGGCAUCCUGGACCGAGAUUGACACUGAUGAGCGAAAGCCAGGGGAGCAAACGGG